UUAAUUUAAUAGAUACAACAUCCUGUGAGGAAGACAAAUAUUCUUUCCACUUUACUUACUACAUUAAGUAAAGUUUAGAGAGAAGUUAAGUGGAUUCCUGGAAAUCACAGGCCUUCUGCAUCUUGUCAGCAUUCUAAUACUGCAUUUGAAAGCAUUUUGAGGGGUGUCUCUCUGCUCUGUUCCAAAAGCCCAUGUAAUAUCUUUGAAAUUUAAGAAUAUAUUUGUUUUAAGGAUCUCCAAAAAGGAGACUUAACAUAUCUAACUUAAAUAUCAGGUUUUUAAAAUUUAGCUUAUUUUUAACAUAUAUGUACCUGAUCAUUGUAUUCAGAGAGCUUCUCAUAAAUCUUAAGGUAUAAAAAGUAAUACAUUUCUUUUCAAAAUAGAAAUAAAUUUUAUAAUAAAUUAACUUUUUGCAUAAUUCUUGCCUCCUAAAAUUCUACUAAUCAUUGAAAUUUUUACUUAAAGUCCUUUCUAAAUUAUUUUAUUAUGUUGUUUGCUAUGGAGCCUCCAAAUGAAUAUAGUAAACAUUUGCCUAAUGUCAAAACAAAAACCAGUACCUCUUUCUUUAUGCAUUCUAUAUACCUUUUAAUGCAGCCUAGAAUAUUUUGUGUUUUCUGAAACAAUGAUUAGUGUUACCAGUUAUGGGUUGCUUUUUUACUCCCCAAAGUGAAUAAAUGAUACCAAGAAAGUAAGAUUAUCUGGGUAACAUCUUAGUCGUAGCAGUAUGUAAGGCAUUUUGAGAGUUCUCAUACAAAAUUCCUCUGAUGCCCCAGGGGAAAAAGUUUAACUGACAAAGGGCUGGUCAUCACAUGUUUACUGCUGCUUUUUUGUAGAAGAUGAGAAAAAAAUAAACAUGAAAUACUUAACAAUAAAAAUAGACUCAGGGCUCAAAGGCUAAAAAUCUUGUUCCAGAGUGACUUCUUAUAUGGGUUUUUGUGUAAUUAUUGACAUUAACUUCUGUGUCCAGAAUUUAUUCCUUCUGGUGGGUUCUUGGUCUUGCUGACUUCAAGAAUGAAGCUGCGGACCCUCAAGGUGAGUGUUACAGUUCUUAAAGAUGGUGUGUCCGGAGUUUGUUACUUCAGAUGUUCAGCUGUGUCUGGAGUUUCUUCCUUCCGGUGAGUUCAUGAUCUCGCUGAUUUCAGGAGUAAAGCCACAGACCUUCGCAGAGAGUGUUACAGCUCUUAAAGGUGGCGUGCCCACCGUGUUCCUCCUGGUGGGUUCAUGGUCUCGCUGACUUCAGGAGUGAAGUCGCAGACCUUUGCAGUGACUGUUACAGCUCAUAAUGGUAGUGUGGAUCCAAAGAGUGAGCAGCAUCAAGAUUUAUUGUGAAGAGCAAAAAAAGAAAGCUUCCACAGCCUGGAAGGGCACCCACGGAUGGCCGCUGCUGGCUCGGGUGGCCAGCUUUUAUUCCCUUAUUUGGCCCCACCCACGUCCUACUGAUUGGUCCAUUUUACAGAGCGCUAAUUAGUCCACUUUUACGGAGUGCUGACUGGUGCGUUUACAAAUCUUUAGCUAGACACAGAGCACUGAUUGGUGCAUUUUUACAGAGUGCUGAUUGGUGCGUUUACAAACUUUUAGCUAGACACAGAGCACUGAUUGAUAUGUUUACAGUCCUUUAGCUAGACAGAAAAGUUCUCCAAGUCUCCACUGACCCAGAAGCCCAGCAGCUUCACCUCUCACUUCCAUGUUUGAAAUUUGACCUCCUGAACUUGAAAGUAGCAGUAACAUAUUUUGAUUUUCUGAUUAGAAAUACCAUGAUUUGACCACAGUCAUAGAAGACCUAAAUAAUGUGAAGAGAGUGGUAGAACAAAUAAGAAUAAUAUAUAGUGAAAAUGAGAAAAAAUGUAAUCCACCUGGAUGUAGUAUAAAUUAGUUCAGUUGAUAAACUCUCAUGAAAAAUAGUUUAAAGGUCACCUGUUGCACUUAAAACCCCACUUACUCGAAACUACUAUGUUUUAGGGGAUAUUUUUCUCAAAGAAAAGUUAAUUUUUUUCCUUUUCCUUCUAUAACAUCAUGUCAUUCCUCUGACUUCUCAUUUUCUUUAGUUUUUUAAGAAAAAUUUUAAAACUCUUAAUUUAUUAAGGUAUUAGAACUCUUGGUAGACUCUGAAACCAUAAUUUCACUUUUACCAAUACCUGCUCCAGCUUGUACCCUGCCCCACAAAACAAAGUACUAUUAAUGUAAUUUACAUUAAUGUCUGUUAAUUUGUCUUUAGAAUAUACUUAACCAUUUACAGAUAGAUUUUAUUUAAUACAGAAAUCUGCAGAAAGUACAAUAGCUAUAGACUGUAGGUUGCUUUUCUGAAUCUGAAGGAGGAUUUAGAAUAUAGAACUUUUUGAACUGGAAAGAAUCUUGCUUAUUGGAAGAGGAAUGUAGAAUCUACAGAGGUUAAUUUUUUAAAGCCACAUGACUAGCAAGUGAUGGGGACUGGCUUGAAACUAGAUCUUAAUCCAAACUCGUUUUAUUUUUGCUUUUGCUUUUUGCCAUGCUUUUUUGUGUACUUUGCCUCCUUUAAUGUAGAAACAUAAUUAUUUGCCCCUUCAUACUGUAUGUGGUUAAAAAUUAUUGUGUUGUCCUAACUAAGGAAAAGAAGAUAUACAUCAUUUACCAUUCUUUGCUGUAAAUUUCUUUCCGACUGACAGCUGUUUAAAACUGAUAGUUUUAAUACAAAAUAAUAUUCUUCAUACAGAGAUCUUUUUUUGUAAUAAGAAGUUGGUAGACUCUCAAACCAUAAUUUGAUUUUUACCACUGCCCAACCUGAUAAUAUUGCUUGUAAAUGUGACUAUGAAUUAAAGAUCAAAUGUAAAUUCAGGAAUACUGUGUGACUUAACAUUUUAAAUUUUAAAAUAUUACUUGUGAUUGACUCACAGCAACUUUUUUGGGCAAAAUUAUGUUUAAUUAUUAUGUAUGAGUCCAACAGUAAGCUCUUUUUGCUCAUCCUUGGAAUGUUUCCAAUCUGUGGCUCCUAGUAUCCUAUGCUGGGAACAGGGAAGAGAUGAAUGCAAAUCUGUGGCUGUCUUUCCCUUAACACUUAUGUUGGACAAUAAAAGUGUGUGUCAAUCUAAGUUUUUCAGUGUUGAAUGUUAAUGAUGUGUUAGUACUUUGAGCAAAUGGGAGGAACAUAAACCAACCAUUCUAUUAAAAACACUGUCUUUAUAUUAGCAUCUGUUUGUGUAGAUAUUUUCCCAUGGUAUAAAACAAAAAGUGCAACAAAUUAGGUUUGCCACUCCUUAGUGCUUCUUUCUAAUGUGCAUUGAAAGAAUGAUUUAAAACAGAGACAGAAUUCCAAAGAUAACAGGUGGUGUGGGAGCUGGAAUUGAUGUUGGCCAAAUACUCUGUGGCACAGAUUAGAUUCAUCCUCUCUAACCAAUUGUCCAUCCCAUGAAAGCUUUUUGCAAUUUAUUACAAGGAAUAUAUUUUGUGAGGAGUGUUAAGGGUUGGUCUCAGGGUUGGAUACUUGGGGUGACUGAGACAAAGAAUUAUUUAGUGAAACCUGCAUGCAUACUAAAAGGUAUCUGGUUUUAAAAUGCAGUUUCAAGUUAGAUUUCUUAUUUUUUGGAGAAAUAAAGUACUUUUGACAUGCAGAUGCUAUUUGGCUUCUGACCCUUUUUUCUCCCCUAAAAAGGAUCAUCUAACUGGCCAAUAUUACACUUGAUGGUUUAUGGGGGUGCACAAAUAUAUAUGGCUUAAGGUGGUGCUUCUUGGAGAAAAAAGGGAGAAACAGUAAAUAUUUGUUUAUUUUCUCCAUAAACAGAAAUUUGGCUAUUGCUUUAUAUAGAAUACAAACCUUUGAGGCAGGAUCAGUGUAAAAAUUCUGUUCCCAAGAAAAUAAUUCACAAAAACAAUUAUCUUUCUGUAAUUUGUGAAAAUAGGAGUACAACACUUUACAUCUAAGGAAACAGGUAGUGGGUGCCCCUUUGCUCUUUGUUAUCACAGAGAAUAUGGUCACUAAAGCCAAAGUUGUCAUCACAUCAUAAAAAGGAGUUGGUAAUUUAUUCACUACAACUGAUAACUAAUAGAUUAUUUGGCAGCCUGAAUUGUAUGCACUUUGGGAUUAAUUUUGGAAUCAUUUCAGAUUAUAAAGAUAUUUUUCCCUACCGUUCUCAUUAGUUUUCUAAACAAUAUGCUAUAUUUUUAAGUUUUAAAAUUUAAAUUUUUAGCAUGUGUUUAGUAUUUAGUAAGAAGAAUAUUACAUGAAGAAAUUGACGGUAGAAAGAAUGUUAGUUGAGGGACCUUGGAUUGGCAAGAAGUCACAUUGAAAGGCUCACGUAAUUAUGUUGGAUGUGUACUUGCUGCAGCUUCUCAAAUGUUGGAGUGUUAAGAGAAAAGGAGCCACAUGUUUGCAUUUGCCUCUUUCCCUGUUCCUAGCAUAGGAUACUGGAAGUCAUCAACUGGAAACACGCUAAGGAUGGACAAAAAUAGCUUAUUAUGUGACUCAGAUAAAAUGAAACAGUUGUAAAAAUAAUUUUUCCCAAGAAGUCAAAUAUAUGAUUACAUCAGUUUAAUAGAAGAAAGGUUGAUGUUUUGAAUUUUGUUAUAUUAUUAAUCUGUUUCUGAGUAAAAAUCCAUAAAACCUAGUGGCUUAAGACAACAAACACUAUUAUCUCACAAUUUCUGUGGGUCAAGGAAUCCAGGAAGGGCCUAACGGAGUUUCUUAUUUCCAGGGUCAUCUCGAGUCUUGACUGGGGAAGGAUUUGCUUCCAAGCUUACAUUGGUGGAUAGGAAGAUUUGGCUUCUUGCUCAUCCCCUUACUAUAUGUGCCUCUUUAACAUAGCAGCUUGCUUCAUCAAAGUGUACAAGCCAACAAUGAGAUAGAGUCUCCCAGCAAGACAGCAGUCACCAUCUUUUGUAACCACUCUUGGAAGUGACAUCUGUCAACUUUACUGUAUCCUAUUGUGUAGAAGCAAGCCAUGAGGUUCAGCCUACACUUGAGGGAAGGAAUUAAACAAAGGAGUGAAGAUCGGGAGGAGAGGGUCAUUGGGCACCAUUUUAAAGUCCCCCUACUAUAACUACUAAUCACAAGCAAUAGAAAUUCAACAUAGGCCAGCAAAUGGUUAUAUGUGUGAAGAGAUCUACACUGCCAUGUUCCAAGGGAAAAUGUGCCCUGGUGGAGGAUUUGCAAGGUUCACCAGACUUGAAAAUUGAUGCACAUUAUGGGAAGGUCUUUCCUAGGAAUAGUCUUAACAGUGAGACGCAUCUAGUCAAAGAAAAUAUGAUAUAUUCAACACAUAGGCCAAUAAUAAGUGGUUAUAUCCAUCUAAAGCAUUUUAUGCUUUGGAAUUUUUGCAAGUGUCCAGUGAGUCAUGAAAAAUAUAGAAGAUAACAGAGGAAUGAAUGAUUUAAAGGAAGAUAGAACAAGCUAGUACAUUUCACUACUUUAAAAAAAAAAAAAAAACUGGCAGGGCACUGUGACUCAUGCCUGUAAUCCCAACACUUUUGGAAGCCGAGGCAGGAGGAUUGCUUGGGCCCAGGAGUUUAAGACCAUCCUAGGCAAUGUGGUAAAACCCUGUCUCUACAAAAAAGUACAAAAAUUAGCUGGGAGUGGUGGCAUGUGCCUGUAGUCCCAGCUAAUUGAGAGGCUAAGGUGGGAGAAUCACCUGAGCCCAGGAAAUCAAGGCUGCAGUGAACCAUGAUCACACUACUGCACUCCAGCCUGGGUGAUGGGUGUGAGACCUGUUUCAAAAAAAAAAAAAAUGAACACAUUGUUUUAAAAAUUAACAUAUAAUGUCAAGGAACAUAGCACUGCAACCCCUGAAAAAGUCUGGACUACUCACACUUGACUCUAGCUUUCCAGCUGUAGGGGAAUGGCAGUGCCAGGGCUGUUUGUGUGGGUGUACAAGCUGAUUGGGGAGGGAUUUGUAGGGUAUGAGAUAUCAGAAAUAUUAUGUAACAAAAAUGUUUGAGAAGCAGUAAGACAGUAUCGCAUGAUUGUUAAAAGCUUUGGCUUAGGCCGGGCACUGUGGCUUACACCUGUAAUCCCGGCACUUUUGGAGGCUGAGGCCGGCAGAUCACCUGAGGUCAGGAGUUUGAGACCAGCCUGGCCAAAUGGUGAAAGUCUGUCUCUACUAAAAAUACAAAAUAAAAAAUAGCCGAGUGUGGUGGCACACGCCUGUAGUCCCAGCUACUCGGGAAGCUGAGGCAGAAGAUCACCUGAACCCAGGAGGCGGAGGUUGCAGUGAGCCAAGACCAAGCCACUGCACUCCAGUCUGGGCAACAGAGUGAGACUUGGUCUCAAAAAACAAAACAAAACAAAACAAAACAAAACAAAACAAAACAAAAGCUUUGGCUCAGAGUUUGAACACUUAAAUUUACUUCUAAGUCCCAUUACUUUGUAGUUGUAUGAUCUUAAGCAAGCUAACUUUUUAAAUUUCUUAAUCUGUAAAAAUGGCUUUACCAAUAGAAUCUAUCUCGGGGUUUGUUUGAGAAUUAAAGGAGAUAAUACAUAUACCAUUUAGUGGUAUACAGUAAAUAUUCACUAAAUAUUAAUCAAUACUAUUUUACAAAUUGAUGACUGCACUCAGAAGAGAAAGAGAUGAGGCAGGAUGAUUCAACGUUUGGGCCAAGGAUGGUAAGAGAAUGAUAAUACUAUUCAUUCACAAAUACUAAAGGUGGCCUAUAGUUUGGGUGGGAAAUUAUGAGAUCAGUUUCAGGCUUGUUAAAUUGGAGAUGGCAGCAUGUGACAAUAUCUAGCAAAUUCUUUAUGUGCUCAGAUGGGAGGUUAAGUCUGGAGGUGACAUUAGGGACAUCAUGUUCUUAUGACCACCUAGCCAUGGUUGAUUGAUCCAAGGUGAUCACCUAACCUUUUCCCUUGACUGUACCCCCUGCUGAAAUUGAUUUAUUUGAGACCUAAGCCUAAACUGAGCCAAUCAAUAGCCUUACUUAGAAAUCUGCAAUUGAGACCAAGACAUUACAACCCAGUCUUCCUGCUCUCUGGAACAAAAGAGAUAUAAAUUCAAAAUGGUCUGCACACAGGAAAAUGAAACAGUCACACAGAAAAAGAAAACAAAAUUGGUAGAAAACUCACAUGUUUGAGUCUGUGAUCCCAAGUAUUCCUUAUUUAGGCAGCUUCAUUCUUGCCUAAGAUCCUUAAAUAUGUUUGUAAAAUUUAUGCUAGUUCAAGUUAGGUUUCUAUUACUUGCAACUCCCAACUAAUACCAAGAAACCACACGCAGGUGAUAACUGCAGGCACUUGGCAUGAAUAAACUACCUGAGGGAACAGGAAAGGAAUGAGAGCAAAACUAACUUGGCAUUGUGGGUGUCAGAGAAGCCAGGAUAGGAAUGGAAGGUUAGAGGGACAGUUGUAUCAAAUGCUAGUCUCUUUCUCUCUCUCCUCUCCUCUCUCUCCUGGAGCUGGGACACCCUUCGUCUCCUUCUUUUGGACAUCAGAACUUCGGCCCCUCCAGCCUUUGGUCUCUAAGGCCUAGUGGUCAAGGAAGAUGAGGUCAGAGGAAAGCCUGCCGAAUUGAGUUUUGAGAGUUCACUAGUAGCUUUAAAAAUGUCUACCAUUCUCAACAGACAAAGUGUAAUGAAAUUUCAAAGUUAAAACUUUUUUGAAUCUUGGCAAACAAUGUUCCAUCUUUUAUAAGUCUCUUUUACUCAGAACACAUGUUUAGUAUGCCCAUAUUUAAUUUAUACCUGUCUGUUAAACAGGUUGACUGCAUUAUGUCUGUGGUGGUGGUGAUGGUUCAAAAUAGUCUGACCUUUUAAAGACAAGGUUACUGAUUCCAGCUUAGUCAUUCCCUUAGUCUUGAGGUUAGGAACCAGCUUAGAAACAGCUGAGAGUGACAUCAUUGUGGCCAUUUGAACAUGCAGAGAAAGAAGGGUACGUCAAGCUGCUUCAGGAAGACUAGAAUAGAGACCUUCACAGAAGAGAGAGGCCCCAUAUCAGAAGGAAUUGUGACCCAGAAGGAUGGAGCUCAUCAGAGACAGUCUCCUUUGAGAAUCAAGAAAGAUUCAGAACAGAGCAACUAAAAUUUACUGGACACUUCAAAUAUGGAUAAAAUGCUUCAGAACUAGAAUGCAGGAUAUAUGAAAACCUUUGCAGAAUUUACUUGAAAGGGGAAAUGCUCAGUUACACCCCCACCUGCCCUGCUCAUGAAGAACAGAUUUUCCAAGUAAUAUGCUGUUAAAAAAUGAUGAGGUCUUGCUAUGUUGCUCAGGUUGAACCUGAACUUCUGGGCUCAAGCGAUCUUCCCGCCUCAGCCUCCCAAAUAGCUGGGACUAUAGGUGUGUGCCACCAUCGGUGGCUUGUUUUGCCUACUUUCAUACUUGACAUAUACAUAGGUAUAUGGAAUUAUAUAAUAUAAGCUUAUUUGUAUCUGUCUUCUUUUUCCAUUAUGUUUGGGAUAUCCAUCCAAAUCACUGCAUGUAGUUGUACUUUAUUCAUUUUCAUUGAGUACCAUAUUCCAUCUUAUAAAAAUGUGACAAAUGAAUUAUUCUACCAUUGAUGGGCAUUUGAGUGCUUCAUAGUUUUUGGCUAAAAUACAGUAUUACAGCUUUAUAGCCCUAGUUUGAUAUAUCCUAAUGACAAUAAACAAACAUACAAAUAAGCAAAGAAGAGAUAAAACAACUUACAAGAAAAAAUAUUCAGGUAGCACUGUAAAUUAGUUUUAAAUUAAUAUAUGUAUAUUGUGAUAUAGUUAAUAUCAAAAACCAAGAAUUUCAGUGUACAAGAGAAGCAAAACAAAAGAUAAUAAUACUCUGUCAACUAUGAAUAGGAAAAAACAGUAUGAAUUAAUGAUUUGAGUUAAUCUCCGAUUUUCUUUCUAAAAAAUAAUUACUUCAUGUAUUUGCCAUUAAAAAAGCCUAAAGUAAUGACAUCUCUGUAGCAGGGAGCACAUCUAGACACUGAUUGUGAUCUCUAAAUAUAAUUUCCCAUCAAAAUCUCUGAAAUUUGAGAAGAUUCUUGCCAUGCAUUUAUUCUAUCAUCAUUCUUACAAACUAUAUUAAAUGGUAACUAAACAGUUGAUGAGGAAAAGUCCUGUAAAGUAUUCCAGCUAAUAAAUGCAAAAGGAAUAUUACAAUUAGAAAUGAUCACUUUACACAUGUCAGCAAAAAUGGCAGAAUAAGGAUCUCUGAAAAUUUUAUCCUCCAUAAAAGCAAAAAGUACUGAUAAAUAUUGCCAGAAUCAGCUUUUUCAGAUCUGGAAAUUAGCAAAAAGCUUGCAGCAAUAUAGGGAGAAUUUAUUCAAGGGAAAAAAAGACAGGAUUUCAGUGAGAACAGUGAGCUCUGUGGUAUUUUAACUUUCCCCACAGCUCUAUGGUAGCCUUCAAAUCAAAACAGCCCAAAUUUAUUAUGAAAAAGCAGCAGCCAGGCUGCCACUAGAGGAGGCCAGAUUGGUUGGAUAUACUCUAAAGUCCCAUUCACAGAGACCUUACAUUAUUUGACCUAUUUGGUAGUUUCCUGGAAGAUCCCACUAGUAAGGUUAUCUUUACUUUAUCUAACUUGGAGUUCACCUAGUGUGAAACGCCUUUUCCACAGAGGCAUUUGUCAAACAAUCAUAGGCAACUGUUGAAUAUUGUCACUGACUGAGGUGUAGCUAAUAACUGGAGCAAAACAUAAGAUAACUAAAAAAGCUUAAAAGUAAAUUACCUGGGAAAUGAGAUGAUCCAUAGGAGGCUUUGAAAAUAUAUUCCUAGGAAUUUAGAAAGCCACAUGCAAAUGUUGGGCCCACAAAAGACCGGAGAAAGCCCUAAACUCUCACCACAGUCUAACCUUGAGACUCUGCACAAGCAGGGAAUAAAAGAUAAUCCAGAGCUGCAAAUAGCCUGGCUGAGUGUUGAAUGCAUGCCCCAACACACAUACAGACCCCUUUGUCAAAGACUGACUUAUUGGUCUCAGGCACCUAAGGAAUUCUGUCUAAUCCUUAGCUGACCUCUAAGUUAACCAGGCAAAGACUUCGAUGGCUAUCUAUGAGAAACAAAACAAACUUUACAGGAGUAGUUAAAAGAAAAAGAAAUAAUAAACAACAACUACCAGAAACAGUAACAUAUUCUGGGCAGGGGGUAGAAUCUGAUUUUCAGAUUUAUCAGAUUACAUUAUUUUAUUUUUAUUUUUGUAGAGACAGGGUCUCACUAUGCUGCCCAGGCUAGUCUUGAACUCCUGGGCUUAAGUGAUCCUCCUGCUUUGGCCUCUCAAAGUGCUGGGAUUACAGGCAUUAGCCACUGCUCUCAGCCAUUACAUUAGUUUAAAAUGUCUAAACAAUUAAGAGAAACAGAAACAAAGUAUGGCCCAUAUAAAGUAGUGAAUAGAGGCUAUUCCUGAAAAAGUCCAGAUAUUAGGCCGCUGGACAAAGACUUUAAGUCAGCUAUUUCAUGUAUGCCCAAAUAAUGAAAGAAAACUGUAUUUAAGUAACUAAGACUACAGCAUUUUAUUAAAUACAUGAGAUAAACUCAAGAAACAGAUAUUAUUAAAUAGAAUUCUAAAGCUGAAAGUGUAAUAACUGCAAUAAAAAAUUAGAGGGGUUCAAUAGAAGAGUUGAAAAGGAGGGAGGGGAAAAAGGGACUUGAAGAUAAGUCAAUUGAGAUUAUUCAGUCUGAAAAAUGAAAACAUAAAAUUAAAUAGAACCUCAGAGAUCUGUGGAAGACCAUAAAGCAUACCAACAUAGACACAAUGAAGGUCCCCAAAGUAGAGGAUCAAGAAUAAAGAAUAGGAAGAAUAUUUGAAAAAUAAUGGCCGAAAACUUCUCAAAUUUGAUGAACAACAUCAAUCUACAUGUCCAAGAAGCUCAACUAACUCCAUGUAACAUAAACCCAAAGAUAUGCAUACAUAUAAACAUCAUAACCAAACUGCUGAAAGCCAGCAACACAAGAAAAUCAUGAAAACUGUAUGAUUAUCAUGUAUGAAGGAUUACCAAUAAGAUUAAUAACUGAUCUCUGAUCAGAAACAAUGAAGACCAGAAGGCAGUAGAAUGACAUAGAACCACAAGAAAAAGACUGCCAACCAAGAAUUCUGUAUUUUGCAAAACUAUCUUUCAGAAGUGUAUUAUAUAAUAAAUUAGGACAUUCUCUGAUAAAUAAGAGUUUAUUGUUUUUAGGCAUGUCCUAUAAAAAAUACUAAAUGUGUGCUUCAGGCUGAAAGGAAAGGACACUAGACAGUACCUCAAAUACACCUAAGAACUUAAAGAUCACCAGUAAAGAUAAUUACGUAGGUAAAUAUGAAAUCAUAUAUGUAUUUUUGUUUGUAACUAUUUUUCUCAUAUUUGAUUUAAAUGACAAUAUCGAUCUGAUUUAAAAUACAAAACAAUCUGUGUUAAUGGGCAUAAAAUAAAUAAAAUGUAAUUUGUAUAAUAGCACAGAGUAAAAAGAGGGAAUGUAGCUAUACGGGAACAAAGUUUCCUUAUAUUGUAAUGAAACUGGUAUUACUUCAGACUAGCUGUUAUAAGUUAGUUGUAAUCCCCAGGGAAACCAUUAAGAAAAUAACAUCAAAAAAUUUAGUAAAAGACAAGGGAAUUAUAACAGUACACUAGAAAAUAUCUAUUGAAUACAAAAAAAGACAAGAUACAGACAAAAUGGCAGACAAAUCCUACCUUAUCAAUAAUUAUGUUAAAUGUAUAUAAAUUGAAAAAUUAAAAGGCAGAGACUAGUAAUAUCAAUUUUUAAAAAGAUUUAACUAUACAAUAUCUACAAGAUAUACACUUUAUAAUAAAAAGUUCAAGCCAUUAAAAUGAUGUAACAAAUGUAAACAUAUGUAAUCAGCAACAGAGCACCAAAAUACAUGAAGCAAAAAAUGGCAGAAUAAAUAGAUAAUUUACUAAUCCACUUUCAAUAAUGGCUAAAAGUAGAUAGAAGAUUAAAAAGAAAACAGAAGUUGUAAAAAACACUAUAAACCAACUAGGUCUAACAGGCAUCUAUAAAACAUGCCACCCACCAACAGCCGAAUAUACACAUUCUUCUCAAGCACACAUGAAACAUUCUCCAGGAUGGACUGUAUGUCAAGUUAUAAAACAAGUCUAAAUAAAUGUAACACUGCAAAAA